rnacentral:rRNA from 1 species
UACGAAGGGGGCUAGCGUUGCUCGGAAUCACUGGGCGUAAAGCGCACGUAGGCGGAUUGCUAAGUCAGGGGUGAAAUCCUGGAGCUCAACUCCAGAACUGCCUUUGAUACUGGCGACCUUGAGUCCGGGAGAGGUGAGUGGAACUGCGAGUGUAGAGGUGAAAUUCGUAGAUAUUCGCAGGAACACCAGUGACGAAGGCGGCUCACUGGCCCGGUACUGACGCUGAGGUGCGAAAGCGUGGGGAGCAAACAGG